AACGAACGCUGGCGGCAUGCCUAACACAUGCAAGUCGAACGAGACCUUCGGGUCUAUUUGCGCUCGUGUGCGUACCGCGUGGGAACCUGCCCUUAGGUUCGGAAUAACUCCCCGAAAGGGGUGCUAAUACCGGAUAAUGUCUUCGCACCAAAGAUUUAUCGCCUUUGGAUGGGCCCGCGUUGGAUUCGCUAGUUGGUAGGGUAAAAGCCUACCAAGGCGACGAUCCAUAGCUGGUCUGAGAGGAUGAUCAGCCACACUGGAACUGAGACACGGCCCAGACUCCGACGGGAGGCAGCAGUGGGGAAUAUUGGACAAGGGGCGAAGGCCUGAUCAAGCAAUGCCGCGUGAGUGAUGAAGGCCGUAGGGUAGUAAAGCUGUUUUACACGGGAUGAGAAUGACAGUACCGGGAGAAUAAGCUCCGGCUAACUCCGUG
rnacentral:rRNA from 1 species